ACGGUGGCGGCCUAAGCCCG
rnacentral:snRNA from 1 species